rnacentral:rRNA from 1 species
CUUUCCCUCUUUCUUCAUGCUUUACACAUGCAAGUCGAACGGCAGCGCGGGCUUCGGCCUGGCGGCGAGUGGCGAACGGGUGAGUAAUACAUCGGAACGUGCCCAGUAGUGGGGGAUAGCUCGGCGAAAGCCGGAUUAAUACCGCAUACGACCUGAGGGUGAAAGCGGGGGAUCUUCGGACCUCGCGCUAUUGGAGCGGCCGAUGGCAGAUUAGCUAGUUGGUGGGGUAAAGGCCUACCAAGGCGACGAUCUGUAGCUGGUCUGAGAGGACGACCAGCCACACUGGGACUGAGGCACGGCCCAGACUCCUACGGGAGGCAGCAGUGGGGAAUUUUGGACAAUGGGCGAAAGCCUGAUCCAGCAAUGCCGCGUGUGUGAUGAAGGCCUUCGGGUUGUAAAGCACUUUUGGCGGGAACGAAAAGGACUGUGCAAAUACCACGGUUCGAUGACGGUACCCGCAGAAUAAGCACCGGCUAACUACGUG